rnacentral:lncRNA from 1 species
UAUGAAUCUGAGCUUCAAGGAACCUGAGAACCCGAGAGCCUCUUGCCACCAGGUCCCUCUUCUGGAACCCCCAGAAGAGGGUGAUGGCAUAAAAGAGAGAUUCCAGGGUGCUGACCCAGCACCAUGUCCAUUCUGAUUGGUUGAUGCCUUUGCCUUUUUGAUAAUACUUCAUUCCUGUAGGUAAUUAACAGAGGAUAAUACUAUCAUUCCUGUAGGUAGUUAACAGAGGCACAAAGCACUCAUCUACAGGGAUCAGAGGAAGAAAUAACUUCAUGAUAUGAGAACGGUGCCUGAUGAAAUCAGUCUGGAAGGGAGGGAGGCAACCUCCAGCCAAACCCAACAGAUCAGGUGAUGUUUUGUUUCUAGGUAUCUACUCAAAACCCCUGUCCCUGUGGGCACAAGGGGGACUCCAGAUUCAAGGCACUUACAAUCCAGAUGCAAGGAUGCCCCUAACCGCUAUUUCAUGAAGGUGAAUUUGAGAAACCAGAAAAGAAAGAAGGGAUGAGGAACUCCAGUUGAAGUCUAGAAAUUCAGGUGUCUUGAAAUGUAGGAAGGCUUAAAACACCUGCUACUCCUGGGCCUUCCAGAAGCAUUCAAGGUACUUAAGAAGACAGCCAUGCCCAUUACCAAAGAUGAUUCCAUGUGGAAAUGUUCUCAUGCUGUUGGUGUUAGAGGGAGGGAGACAGUAAAUCUGGCUGAGGGAGGGUGUCAUGAAAGUGAACUGGAAGAACUCACUCUUGAAGGGUAAUUAAGGUGGUCACUGGUCACUGGCCUCCAGUGGAGGGCAUGUCAGACUUCCACCCUCUGGAAGUCUGAGAGGCCAAGGCAUGUUUCUGGAAUUCCUAGUGACAUAGAAACAUAGAAUUAUAGGGUACUCAAGUCAGGUCUUCAAUAAGAAAAGUAGGGAUGACUUCAGUUAAAAAGUAUGUAGAAAAUAGUGCUAAGGAGAUGGAAGGAGAUGAAGAGGCAUUGACAGAGCAGAGAGAAAAGAGAGAUCUUGCUCUGUGGACUCCAGCUGUAACUGUGGCAUAGGGUUUAGCAAAAUGGCUAUAUAACUGGGUGAUUUAAUAAGUCUCAGGCUCUUGAGUCAUCCACUGCAUUCGUGUCUGUAACAAACUACCCCAAACUGAGUGGUUUAAAUAUCAGAAAUCUAGGGGCGCCUGGGUGGCUCAGUCGGUUAAGCGGCCGACUUCGGCUCAGGUCAUGAUCUCUCAGUUCGUGAGUUCGAGCCCCGCGUUGGGCUCUGUGCUGACAGCUCAGAGCCUGGAGCCUGUUUCGGAUUCUGUGUCUCCCUCUCUCUGACCCUCCCCCGUUCAUGCUCUGUCUCUCUCUGUCUCAAAAAUAAAAUAAAAACGUUAAAAAAAAAACA